rnacentral:rRNA from 1 species
UACGUAGGGUGCAAGCGUUGUCCGGAAUUAUUGGGCGUAAAGAGCUCGUAGGCGGUCUGUCGCGUCUGCUGUGAAAACUCAGGGCUUAACCCUGAGCUUGCAGUGGGUACGGGCAGACUAGAGUGCGGUAGGGGUGACUGGAAUUCCUGGUGUAGCGGUGGAAUGCGCAGAUAUCAGGAGGAACACCGAUGGCGAAGGCAGGUCACUGGGCCGCAACUGACGCUGAGGAGCGAAAGCAUGGGGAGCGAACAGG